UGCACUGCAUAGUAUCUGCACUCAGCAGUUUAUUCCUGCUGAUGUGUUCAAAGGACAGUGAGAUAGAAAUUCAAUAUCUGGCAUUGUUGGUUUUCUUGGCUUUAUGCAGUUAAGCCUGGUGUUUAUAUUGAUACAAUU
rnacentral:snoRNA from 1 species